UACGUAGGGUGCGAGCGUUGUCCGGAAUUAUUGGGCGUAAAGAGCUUGUAGGCGGUUUGUCGCGUCUGCUGUGAAAAUCCGAGGCUCAACCUCGGACUUGCAGUGGGUACGGGCAGACUAGAGUGUGGUAGGGGAGACUGGAAUUCCUGGUGUAGCGGUGAAAUGCGCAGAUAUCAGGAGGAACACCAAUGGCGAAGGCAGCUCGCUGGGACGGUACUGACGCUGGAGGCGCGGAAAGCGUCGGGGAGCAAACAGG
rnacentral:rRNA from 1 species